GAGGAUUGCUCAUUGCUGGCUGCAAGUAAUACAGUAUAACGAACAGGCUUUACUUUUUAUAUUACAGCUAAAAUGUCAUCAUCUUUUUUCAAAUAACUAUCUGUUUACAUUUAUUUAAAUUCGUGCAUCAUGCUCAAAAGUGUGCUGCUCAUCUGUUUCUUUAUUCUACUUUUGAAUGAAGCGUCUGUCCAGGAAGUAGUAGUUCAGGGUUUUAUCGGAGGUUCUGCAGUUUUGCCGUGCCAUCCUGGGAACAGAAGUCUUGCACGCAUCAAUGCACACUGGAGAUAUGAUGACAGGAAGAAUGUUUAUGACAUACUAAAUGGCAUGGCGAUGACUAAGGAGCAGGACCCAGAGUACAAGGGCAGAACUGUUACGUUCCCUGCAGAGUAUUCGAAGGGAAACUUCUCCCUCAAGCUCGGGAGUCUUCAGAAAAGUGAUGAAGGGUCGUACUGCUGCUUCAUCCCCGAGCUUGGUCUCAACGAAUGCGUAAAUCUUCAAGUCAAAGAGAAACCAAUAGGAAUCCAAAAGCCAGGCUCUAAUGGUGGAGUUGAAACCACAGCAGGGAGGAUUGUAUCUCUGUUAAUUCCCCUCUUCUCUGUUACUCUUCAGCUCUGAGUAUGAAGCUAUAUAAUGCACACCUCAGCCUCAACUCAAAUCUUCCCCGGUUGUGCGACACGCACUUGUUUGUGCAUGAGCAAAGCUAUUUUUAGGAGUCUAACUUGAAAACGCCAGACCACUGAUUCGUCAAACUAGUCUAUGUUCUUCCAACUAUUUUAUAGAAUCCUGAAGGUUUGAUAAAACGUGACUUGUAUUGGAUUGUAUUUAGUUAUAAAGACCUCACCUGCUUCAGGCUGAUCUGUUUCAAUGCAGUGUAUGCAGUAGCUUUAUUUAUUUGUUUAUUUAAUAUAAAAUAAUUAUAUUUGUAUUUAAUUUAAUAUUCAAGUUAUUUAAUUUAGUUUAAUAUGUAUAUGUUGAAUUGAUUAAACUAGUUCAAGCCCUUGUCAAUAUGUUUUAUGUCUGUUGUGUAACAGUGCUAUGCUACCUGUAAUGCAAAUAAUUUGUGUUUAGAAAAAUAUGUUGUGUUGUUUAUAUAUAUAUUUAGUUCUUCUCACAACUGCUUGAGCUUUCUUGAAUAAAUAUAGAUGAUUAUAA